rnacentral:tRNA from 1 species
GCCUGGAUGGCUCAGUCAGUUAAGUGUCUGACUUCGGCUCAGGUCACGGAUCUCAUGGUUUGUGAGUUCAAGCCCCACAUCAGGCU